UGAGGAAUAUUGGUCAAUGGUCGAGAGACUGAACCAGCCAAAUCGCGUGAAGGAUGACGGUAUUAUGUAUUGUAAACUUCUUUUAUCGGGGAAUAAAGUGAGGAACGUGUCCCUUUUUGUAUGUACCCGAUGAAUAAGCAUCGGCUAACUCCGUGCCAGCAGCCGCGGUAAUACGGAGGAUGCGAGCGUUAUUCGGAUUUAUUGGGUUUAAAGGGUGCGUAGGCGGCUGAUUAAGUCAGCGGUGAAAUCUCGAUGCUUAACAUCGAAACUGCCGUUGAAACUGGUUAGCUUGAGUAUAAACGAGGCAGGCGGAAUUCGUAGUGUAGCGGUGAAAUGCAUAGAUAUUACGAAGAACUCCAAUAGCGCAGGCAGCUUACCAGGCCACGACUGACACUGAGGCACGAAAGUGUGGGUAUCAAACAGGAUUAGAUACCCUGGUAGUCCACACAGUAAACGAUGAUUACUCGCUGUUUGCGAUAUACAGUAAGCGGCCAAGCGAAAGCGUUAAGUAAUCCACCUGGGGAGUACGCCGGCAACGGUGAAACUCAAAGGAAUUGACGGGGGCCCGCACAAGCGGAGGAACAUGUGGUUUAAUUCGAUGAUACGCGAGGAACCUUACCCGGGCUCGAACGGUAUCUGAAUUUCAGUGAAAGCUGAAAGGCCGCAAGGACAGAUAUCGAGGUGCUGCAUGGUUGUCGUCAGCUCGUGCCGUGAGGUGUCGGCUUAAGUGCCAUAACGAGCGCAACCCUUAUCUUUAGUUACCAUCAGGUUAAGCUGGGGACUCUAGAGAGACUGCCACCGUAAGGUGUGAGGAAGGUGGGGAUGACGUCAAAUCAGCACGGCCCUUACGUCCGGGGCGACACACGUGUUACAAUGGGGGGGACAAAGGGCAGCUACCAGGCGACUGGAUGCCAAUCUCCAAACCCUCUCCCAGUUCGGAUCGGAGUCUGCAACUCGACUCCGUGAAGCUGGAUUCGCUAGUAAUCGCGCAUCAGCCAUGGCGCGGUGAAUACGUUCCCGGGCCUUGUACACACCGCCCGUCAAGCCAUGGAAGCCGGGGGUACCUGAAGUACGUAACCGUAAGGAGCGUACCUAGGGUAAAACUGGUAANCUGGGGCU
rnacentral:rRNA from 1 species